GUAGGGUGCGAGCGUUAAUCGGAAUUACUGGGCGUAAAGCGUGCGCAGGCGGUAAGUUAAGUCUGAUGUGAAAGCCCCGGGCUCAACCUGGGAAUGGCAUUGGAAACUGGCUUGCUAGAGUGUGGCAGAGGGGGGUGGAAUUCCGCGUGUAGCAGUGAAAUGCGUAGAGAUGCGGAGGAACACCGAUGGCGAAGGCAGCCCCCUGGGCCGACACUGACGCUCAGGCACGAAAGCGUGGGGAGCAAACAGGAUUAGAUACCCUGGUAGUCCACGCCCUAAACGAUGUCAACUGGGUGUUGGGGAAGCGAUUCCUUGGUACCGUAGCUAACGCGUGAAGUUGACCGCCUGGGGAGUACGGCCGCAAGGU
rnacentral:rRNA from 1 species